ensembl:lncRNA
GUGAAAACUAGAAGGAACAUUCAUUUUAGCGACUUGGUUCUCUCGUCAACUCUUGUUAAAAGUGUAUAAGGUUUAAGCUAUAUGCUCUGAAUUGGACAAUACAACAUGUGGAUUAUAACAUUGUGUUACUACAAUUUGAUGAACUCCCGAAACAAACGAAGAUCAAGGAUUUUUUUGGACAUCAGACCAAAAAUUGUUGAACGCCGAGUCACCUACAUCUAUGGUGAUGAAGUUUUCUGUAGUUUUGUUCCCGGAGGAGGAUGACUGUGUGGCAGCAGUUCCACGCCAGGAUGAAGCAAGCACAGUACUCCAAGGCACCAGAGAGGUACUCCACGCCACCUUGAAGAGGAUUGCUACAUAGGGCAAGUAGGCAGAGGUAGGGGGAAGUUUUAGCUCUGCACAUGAAGAACAUUUGGAGAAGAUCAAGUGGCUGACUGAAAAGAAUGUCAAGCCGAGGGCACAGCUGCCUCAACAAUCAGGAGCCAUAAGGAAGAAUCUUUCCAAACGGGAUGCCACUGAUGAGGCUGUCCAGAACCAGAAUUCACCAACAUAGUCGGAGAAAGGAAGAACCUGCACCCGUUGGACCAGAAUCUGCCCCAGACGGAGUGGGUGCUGCUGAAGGUCAUCAAGCGAAAGUGGUCGGAGCCAAGGUGGACGGGUCCUCAUCAGGUGGUGGAGAGAACGAGCCGAUCCGCCUGAGGGACAAAGGAGACACGUGGUACCAUUGGAGCCAGUGUACACCAGAGCAGGAGCCAGGGAGGUCGCUGACGGACCUCAUCCAAACCGGGAAGGAGGAGCUUGCCCCAGUGUGAACGGAAGGAGGACCAAAACCAGCCGGACCGGUGCCAGGAGCGGACCCCAGGAUACUGCAGGACUACGAGCGAGAGAAGGAGACAAAGGACGGCGCCAGGGGAAUAGACUUUUAGGGGAAGGAACUGAAGAAUACUGUAACAAAAGGGGGUAUAGGACACCGAAUGGCUCCUACCACUCGUACCAAGAUGACAGAGUUACAGAGAAAGGCCUGGGGAGAUGAUGAUAGAAUGAAGUGGUACCAAGGGCAUUGGUGGAAUAAUGAUAUGUUUGUUGCUACAGGUUUCCCCGGUUGGCAUCGGGUCUCCACUCCCCCAGCGAAGAGGCAUGUGACACAAAAAGAGGACGCCUGCCUGAAAAAGGGCGGGGGUAUCGAAUUGGAUUAUGUCAAGGGGUCGCAUACGAGCAUUCUGGGAUAGAUAAUCCGCUGGAGGAAUGGAUGACCUCGAUGUUUGGCCAGUGGAAAGGUUUGAUAAUGUCUGUUCUUUUAUCGCUUGCUACAUUUGGUGCUAUAAUGGUUACUUGUGGGUGUUGUUGUAUCCCAUGCAUAAGAGUGCUCGCCAUGAGAGUGAUCUCUACAGCCAUUGAGAAGGCUCCAGGACCGCCACCAGGGAUGCUGAUGCCUCUACUGGAGCAGCAGGACCCGGGAGAACUGGAGCUUGGCGAAUAGGGGUGAUCUCUCUGGGGAGAGAUCAAAAGGGGGAAUUGUGGAUACAUUGAGUGAAUAAGCUGUCAAACUGUUGUGAGCAUUGAAGCAAAAUAUUAAAUGUCUGUAGCAUAUGCUGAAACUGAAAGUUGCAAGUAGAAGAACAGGAAAUCUUAUUUACGCUGUUGCUGGGGAUAGAGAGAGCAGAUUUAGCUUGUGUGUAAAGUGCAAAGAUGACGCUUGUACUGCAUUUUCACAUACAAGGUAUAGAACAUAAACUGGACCAAUGGCACACAUGCUUGGCAUAUUCAACCCCCACUUUUAGGCGUGUUUGAAGUAUAAAUAAUGCUGAUGUGACUGCUGAAUUUCAGACAUUUAACACUUCAGCCAGCGCCAUAGGGAUAUCCAUGAAAAAUGCGUGGCAAAGAAGUGAGGGGGGGCUAAGCCCUGAAUGUAUUGUGAUCCUAGCAACACCUCGGUUUCCAACCAAAUUUCCUAAUUAGAUAAUGCGAAUUAAAAUCUAGGCAUAUGGCCUAUAAAUAGCCUAUAUAUGUUGUCCCAUUGCAUUAAAAAUGUAAACACAUUUUCUAAAGGAGGCUAUUUCAAAUAACUAGGCCGGAAGGUCCGGACAACAGAAGCUGGGACACAACAAGGCAAGACCACACAUACAAAACAGCCUUUAUUGAAAAUAAUUCAUAGGGAUACCUCAUAAUACAGCCAUCACAAGGGCUAAACGGGGUGGGUCGAACCAGUCGGACCAAGACUAAAAUAAAUAGAACAACACACCAUAGAGUAAAUAGCACUUCACACUGUAAGAUCAAUAGCACAUCACACAAUAGAAUAAAUAGCACUACACACUAAGAUCAAUAGCACGGCAUACUAUAGAAUAAAUAGCACUACACACUGUAAGAUCAAUAGCACAGCACACUAUAGAAUAAAUAGCACUACACACUGUAAGAUCAAUAGCACGGCAUACUAUAGAAUAAAUAGCACUACACACUGUAAGAUCAAUAGCACAGCACACUAUAGAAUAAAUAGCACUACACACUGUAAGAUCAAUAGUACAGCACACUGUAGUAGCAGGAUUCUCUAACAGGGCUAAGGGCCUACUAGACCCGUGCAGCAUACACACACACAGUAUUCAAGGACCAACUCCCGGGAAAAGAAGCCCUAAACCAACUCAAUGUCCCUCCUGUCUAGGCAAUAUAUUUAAAACAAACGAAACAAACAUAACAAAAUAAUAAAGUGAAGGAUUUUAAAAGUACUUAGCUCCCAGAGCCGAUGAGACCCCACCCUGGGGUCAGAGCUUGUGCACCCUUGUUUGGCCGGUCGGCCCAGCUGGUUCAGUACUGGCAGUGGACAUAUUACGUGGUGAAUGUUAGAGAGGGAAGCGGGCUCUAACAUACUACAAGCAACCCACUAAUCUUUCCUAGCGUCCAGGCCCUCUUGCUAAUUAUCUUCGCCGCCAGCUGCCCUAACCAGCAGCGAACGGCUCCCUCCCCCCGUUGAGAUGAGUACUAGCGUGGUCUGUAGUAUCAUCUGACAACAAAAUUUCAUUUGAUACACAAUUCAGUCUUGUUCACUACAACCCUGUCUUCUCUUGUUACCCUCCCGGUUCUGUGCUUUAUAGUCCCAGAGUCCUGUCAGAGCUUCCCUCCAAUAAGCCACAGGUGCUUUCAUUUAAUGUCUUAAGGCCACCACAGUCAUAAAGAUGAGUAGAGUACUCUAGCCUGCAGGACGUGCAGUAUUUGCACUACAAUAUUUUCAUUUGCCAGACAAAUACGUCUAAACCUGAUACCGGCAAAAAGCCGGAAUUUGACGUACCCUGCAGUGAAUAGAAAAAUAUUUAGAAUGAACUCCAUAAAUGUUCUUAUAAAUUGACAAGCUUUGAACGUAAAGUGGCAAAUCAACAGUAAACUAAAUCUGGAUAACAUGGUCACAGACGCUGUUUGAAAAACAGUGAAAAGGUAUAAGAAUAGAAUUAUCCCCCUGCAGUAUAAAAUAUGACAUAACUGUGCAAUGUUCUGUUACAUUUAAGUGUAUACACUUAACAACUCAACUCCAACACAUUCAAAAUAAUCUACAUAACCCCUCCAUCCCGAUUAAAAGGUAUAAAUAAUUGCAUUAUUAACUUGCUGGCUAUAAUACCAUGCGGACUGACUCCAGAGUAGCCUACUGUACACAAGGCAGCGUUUACCCGUAGUAGUGAGGGAGCACGCGUGAUUGAUAGCUAACUUUUGUCUUACAUUGCAGAUCAUUGCAAGGAUCUGAUGAUUAAAUUGAAGACCAGUGCAUAGGUCCAAACCUAAAGGAGUUUAGUAGAAUAUGAUCGCUUAAAUUACGAGUCUAUACACUGACACUGAAAUAAACCAAUUUCAAUGCAAGGACUCUUGGGACAGACCCGCAAAGACCCGCCGUUCUCGUAGCCUAUUCACUUUGCGAAAAUGAUAGUGUUUUUUCGGAAACGCCUCUCGGUUUUUUGAUACCUUAAUCAUGUCACUGAUGCUUAAAUGAUGCAUGUGCGAGGAAUAGUGAUUGGCAACAUGGGGAUGCGCUAAGGAUUUACUCACUAUCUUCACAGUCACAUUCUAUCUGCUGCUCUGGGCUUGAUUGCUACAUCUGACUGUUAGUCCCGCCCCUUCAUUAGCUUAAGGUCAAGGAAAUACAGAUAUAAAUUCACGCAGAAAUAAAAGGACACAGAAAUAAAUAAAUACAGAAAUAAAAGAACACAGAAAUAAAUAAAUACAGAAAUAAAAGGAUGCAUAUCCAAGGCACGAAGCUCCUGUUCCUCCACAUUCCAAAGAUGCUCUAUUGGGUUGAGAUCUGGUGACUGUGGGGGCCAUUUCAGUACAGUGAACUCAUUGUCAUGUUCAAGAAACCAAUUUGAAAUGAUUCGAGCUUUGUGACAUGGUGCAUUAUCCUGCUGGAAGUAGCCAUCAGAGGAUGGGUAUAUGGUGUUCAUAAAGGGAUGGACAAUGUCAGAAACAAUGCUCAGGUAGGCCGUGGCAUUUAAACGAUGCCCAAUUGGCACUAAGGGGCCUAAAGUGUGCCAAGAAAACAUCCCCCACACCAUUACACCACCACCAGCAGCCUGCACAGUGGUAACAAGGCAUGCUGGAUCCAUGUUCUCAUUCUGUUUACACCAAAUUCUGACUCUACCAUCUGAACGUUUCAACAGAAAUCGAGACUCAUCAGACCAGGCAACAUUCUUCCAGUCUUCAACUGUCCAAUUUUGGUGGGGUCCUCCAUAGCCCUUUAGCAUCAUUGCUUGGAGAAAAACAUCCAUUGCUUGGAAAAAAAAACCUUUUUUUUUU